rnacentral:misc_RNA from 1 species
GAUGAAGAACGUAGCGAAGUGCGAUAAGUAAUGUGAAUUGCAGAAUUCAGUGAAUCAUCGAAUCUUUGAACGCACAUUGCGCCCGCCAGUAUUCUGGCGGGCAUGCCUGUUCGAGCGUCAUUUCAACCCUCAGGCCCCCAGUGCCUGGUGUUGGGGAUCGGCCCAGCCUUCCUGUAAGGCCGCCGGCCCCGAAAUCUAGUGGCGGUCUCGCUGUAGUCCUCCUCUGCGUAGUAGCACAACCUCGCAGUUGGAACGCGGCGGUGGCCAUGCCGUUAAACACCCCACUUCUGAAAGUUGACCUCGGAUCAGGUAGGAAUACCCGCUGAACUUAAGCAUAUCAAUAAGCGGAGGA